rnacentral:tRNA from 1 species
GGCACGGUGGCGCAGUGGUUAGCACAGUUGCCUCACAGCAGGAAGGUCCCGGGUUCGAGCCCCCCGCCCGGGCCC